CAGCCGCCGCGGUAAUACGGAGGGGGCUAGCGUUGUUCGGAAUUACUGGGCGUAAAGCGCACGUAGGCUGCUUUGUAAGUCAGAGGUGAAAGCCCGGGGCUCAACCCCGGAUGUGCCUUUGAGACUGCAGAGCUAGAAUCGCGGAGAGAUGAGUGGAAUUCCGAGUGUAGAGGUGAAAUUCGUAGAUAUUCGGAAGAACACCAGUGGCGAAGGCGGCUCACUGGACGCGUAUUGACGCUGAGGUGCGAAAGCGUGGGGAGCGAACAGGAUUAGAUACCCCAGUAGUCCCUGUCUCUUAUAC
rnacentral:rRNA from 1 species